rnacentral:lncRNA from 1 species
GCACCCUCAGCAAGUUUGCUGAUGACACCAAGCUCGGUGGCGCAGUUAACACGCUGGAGGGAAGGGAUGCCAUCCAGAGGGACCUGGACAGGCUGGAGAGGUGGGCUCAUGCAAAUUGCAUGAGGUUCAACCAAGCCGAGUGCAGGGUCCUGCACCUGGGACGUGGCAACCCCAGGCACAAAUACAGGUUGGGUGGAGAAUGGCUGGAGAGCAGCCCUGAGGAGAAGGACUUGGGAGUGCUUAUGGACGAGAAGCUCAACAUGAGCUGGCAGUGCAUGCUGGCAGCCCAGAGAGCCAACCGUGUCCUGGGCUGCAUCAGGAGAAGUGUGGCCAGCAGGUCUCGGGAGGUGAUUCUGCCCCUCUACUCUGCUCUUGUGAGACCCCACCUGGAAUACUGUGUCCAGCUUUGGAGUCCUCAACACAGAAAGGACAUGGACCGGCUGGAACAGGUGCAGCGGAGGGCCACGAAGAUGAUCAGAGGGAUGGAGCACCUCUCCUAUGAAGACAGGCUGAGGGAGCUGGGAUUGUUCAGCCUGGAGAAGAGAAGGCUCUGGGGAGACCUUAUAGCGGCCUUUCAAUACCUGAAGGGUGCCUAUAGAAGAGCUGGAGAAAGACUCUUUGCCAGGAAGUGUAAUGAUAGGACAAGGGGAAAUGGUUUUAAAUUGGAAGAAAAAAGAUUCAGAUUAGAUAUCAGGAAGAAAUUUUUUACUAUGAGGGUGGUGAGACACUGGAACAGGUUGCCCAGGGAGGUUGUGGAUGCCCCAUCCCUGGAAGUGUUCAAGGCCAGGCUGGAUGGGGCCUUGAGCAACCUGCUCUAGUGGGAGGUGUCUCCGCCCAUGGCAGGGGGGUUGGGAACUCGAUGAUCUUUGAGGUCCCUUCCAACCCUAACCAUUAUAUGAUUCAAUGAUCACUCCAGUGAACUUUGGACAUUGAGCUACUGACCACUACUCUGGAUGUGACCAUUCAACCAAUUCCUUACCCACUGAACAGUCCACCCAUCAAAUCCAUACCUCUCCAAUUUAGAGAGAAGGAUGUUGUUG